rnacentral:rRNA from 1 species
GUCGAGCGGACAGAAGGGAGCUUGCUCCCGGAUGUUAGCGGCGGACGGGUGAGUAACACGUGGGUAACCUGCCUGUAAGACUGGGAUAACUCCGGGAAACCGGAGCUAAUACCGGAUAGUUCCUUGAACCGCAUGGUUCAAGGAUGAAAGACGGUUUCGGCUGUCACUUACAGAUGGACCCGCGGCGCAUUAGCUAGUUGGUGAGGUAACGGCUCACCAAGGCGACGAUGCGUAGCCGACCUGAGAGGGUGAUCGGCCACACUGGAACUGAGACACCGCCCAGACUCCUACAGGAGGCAGCAGUAGGGAAUCUUCCGCAAUGGACGAAAGUCCGACGGAGCAACGCCGCGUGAGUGAUGAAGGUUUUCGGAUCGUAAAGCUCUGUUGUUAGGGAAGAACAAGUGCAAGAGUAACUGCUUGCACCUUGACGGUACCUAACCAGAAAGCCACGGCUAACUACGUGCCAGCAGCCGCGGUAAUACGUAGGUGGCAAGCGUUGUCCGGAAUUAUUGGGCGUAAAGGGCUCGCAGGCGGUUUUUAAGUCUGAUGUGAAAGCCCCCGGCUCAACCGGGGAGGGUCAUUGGAAACUGGGAAACUUGAGUGCAGAAGAGGAGAGUGGAACUACACGUGUAGCGGUGAAAUGCGUAGAGAUGUGGAGGAACACCAGUGGCGAAAGCGACUCUCUGGUCUGUAACUGACGCUGAGGAGCGAAAGCGUGGGGAGCGAACAGGAUUAGAUACCCUGGUAGUCCACGCCGUAAACGAUGAGUGCUAAGUGUUAGGGGGUUUCCGCCCCUUAGUGCUGCAGCUAACGCAUUAAGCACUCCGCCUGGGGAGUACGGUCGCAAGACUGAAACUCAAAGGAAUUGACGGGGGCCCGCACAAGCGGUGGAGCAUGUGGUUUAAUUCGAAGCAACGCGAAGAACCUUACCAGGUCUUGACAUCCUCUGACAACCCUAGAGAUAGGCCUUUCCCUUCGGGAACAGA